rnacentral:rRNA from 1 species
UAUCAAUAAGCGGAGGAAAAGAAACUAACAAGGAUUCCCCUAGUAACGGCGAGUGAAGUGGGAAAAGCUCAACUUUGAAAUCUGGCACCUUCGGUGUCCGAAUUGUAGUCUCUAGAAGUGUUUUCCGUGCUGGCCCAUGUGUGAGUCUGUUGGAACACAGCGUCAUAGAGGGUGACAACCCCGUUCAUAACAUGGACCCCAGUGCUUUGUGAUACACUCUCGACGAGUCGAGUUGUUUGGGAAUGCAGCUCAAAUUGGGUGGUAAAUUCCAUCUAAAGCUAAAUAUUGGCGAGAGACCGAUAGCAAACAAGUACCGUGAGGGAAAGAUGAAAAGCACUUUGGAAAGAGAGUUAACAGUACGUGAAAUUGCUAAAAGGGAAACGAUUGAAGUCAGACGUGCGUGGUGCGGUUCAGCUCUGGUUCGCCAGAGUGUAUUCCGUGCCUUUGCAGGCCAACAUCGGUUUCACGAGGCGGAUAAAGGUUUGAGAAAUGUGGCACCUUCGGGUGUGUUAUAGUCUCUUGCUGAAUACGCCUCGAGGGACCGAGGAACGCAGCGCGCCGCAAGGCAAAGCCUCUGGGCUUUUCGCGCUUAGGAUGUUGGUGAAAUGGCUUUAAACGACCCGUCUUGAAACACGGACCAAGGAGUCUAACAUGCUUGCAGGUUGGGG